rnacentral:rRNA from 1 species
CACGUAGGGUCCGAGCGUUGUCCGGAAUUACUGGGCGUAAAGAGCUCGUAGGUGGUUUGUCGCGUUGUUCGUGAAAACUCACAGCUUAACUGUGGGCGUGCGGGCGAUACGGGCAGACUGGAGUACUGCAGGGGAGAAUGGAAGUUCCUGGGUUGAGCGGUGGAAAAUGCGCAGAGUAUCAGGAAGAACACCCGUGGCGAAGGCGGUUCUCUGGGACGGUACUGACGCUGAGACGCGAAAGCGUGGGGAGCGAACAGG